UUUCACUGUUCUUUUUCUCUUCCCAAACCUCCCCAAGUCGGCGUUCUUCGCCUCCUCUCCUCUCUCUCUCUCUCUCUCUCUGUCUUCAGACAGACCCGAACCAGCAUCGACAUAUAUAUUCGGUUAACGCCUAUACUUACACCCAUAGAUUCGUAGGGAGAGAAUAGAGGGUGCAGAGAGAAGAAGGAGAAUGGACUCAGAUCAAGGCAAGCUUUUCAUCGGCGGGAUUUCUUGGGAGACAAAUGAAGAUAAACUGAGGGAGUAUUUCCAGAGCUACGGUGAGGUUAUGCAGACUGUUGUUAUGAGAGACAAAAUCUCCGGGAAGCCCAGAGGCUUUGGCUUCGUUGUGUUUGCAGAUCCGAGUGUUCUUGAUACCGUUCUCCAGGAUAGGCACACCAUUGAUGGCCGUACGGUUGAGGCCAAAAGGGCCUUAUCUAGAGAGGAACAACAGGUCUCAAAAACUGGGAAUCCCAAUAGUGGCAGAAGUCUUGGAGGUGGUGGUAGUACCAGGACCAAGAAAAUAUUUGUUGGGGGAUUGCCUCCUACUCUGAAUGAGGAUGGCUUCCGCAUUUAUUUCGAAACUUAUGGUAAUGUAACUGAUGUUGUAAUUAUGUAUGAUCAACAGACCAACCGACCACGUGGGUUUGGUUUUAUUUCAUUUGAUUCUGAGGAUGCAGUAGAUAGGGUUUUGCAUAAGACCUUCCAUGAUUUGAAUGGUAAGCAAGUAGAAGUAAAACGUGCUCUUCCUAAAGAUUUUAACCCUGGUUCUGGUGGCCGUUCCGGAGGCGGUGGUGGAAAUUAUCAGGGGUAUGGAGCAUCUGGAAACAAUCCUAAUUCUUAUGACAGUCGGAUGGAUUCCAAGUACAUGCCGCCACAAAACACUGGAGGGGGUUAUCCCCCCUAUGCUUCCUCUGGAUAUGGUUCGGCUGGUUAUGGAUAUGGACCUUCCAACAAUGGGAUGGGUUAUGGUGGUUAUGGAAAUUAUGCUGGAGCUAAUCCUUGUUAUGGUGGUGGUAAUCCUGGCUAUGGUGGUGCUGCUGGUUCUGCAUAUGGAAAUCCAAACCUUCCUGGUAGUGGCUAUGGAAGUGGUCCAGCUGAUGGACCAAGAAGCUCAUGGAGUUCCCAGGGUCCUGCUUAUGGAAAUAUGGGCUAUGGAACUUCCCACUGGGGUAAUCCUAAUGUUGGAGGUGGAGGACCUACAGGUCAGUCUCCAACUGAAGCGGCAGGUUAUGGGAACCAAGGUUAUGGUUAUGGUGGCUAUGGUGGAAAUGAUGGAUCUUAUGGAAAUCCAGCUGCUUAUGGGGCUGUAGGACGCUCUGCUGGUGGUCCAAGUAGCAAUUCCCCUGCUGCUGGUGGUGGUACAGGAGAGCUGCAAGCUGGUGCUGGUGGUUAUGGGGCUUAUGGUGAUGCCAGUGGAAAUUCUGGAUAUGGAAAUGCAGGAUGGAGGUCUGAUGCAUCACAACCUUCUGGGAAUUAUGGAUCAAAUGGCAGCCAAGUCAGCUAUGGAGGUGGAUAUGGUGGUGCACCAGGUCGGCAAACUCAACAACAGUGAUCACAAACACAAUCUCAUGCAAGUCAUUUAUUUUCUGGAAGUCUACUCAUCAUCGAUCUUGUGUUUCAUGAGCUGAGAGGGAGGCUGUUUCAAUACAUCAUACCUGCGUAAUGGGACUGGAGAAGAAGCUCGAGUAAGGAGUGGGAUGAGAACUGUGCACUUAAAGCUAAACACUACAAGGCUUGUGCUGGAGAGUGUUUGGUCCCGAGAGUAAACCUACCUUAAAGUGGAGUUGGCUGGGUUGACCCUGCACAUUCUUGAAACUGGAACUGGUGAUUCAGACCAAGCACAGCUGUUGUUGAGCUCAUUCUUCAUUGUGGUUUUUGGAAUGAAGACUCACAGCCAACAACGGUAUGUUUGGGGUAUGUGGACUACUUGGCAUGAAUUAUGGGGAUUAAGUCCUAAAUGUCUCAUUAAUCCCAUUAGGUAUUGGAGAACUUCUGCUAAGUUGAUGAAUUCCCUCUAGGAUACCCAAAAAAAAAUGCUUGAUGAUCUAUGUAUAAUGUAUUAGUCAUGGAGAUUAGAAAAAUGACAUCAACUUAGUGCUAGCACAGCUUAGUUAAUUGCAGUUGGAAUGUUAAUGUUCUUAGUUGGACGAGAACUCUAUUGGAUCAAUUUCCUUUAGGAUCAAUAUAUCCAAUUUAGCGCAAA